ACUGAGCGUGGUAAUAGGGGGGCUAUGUUGCGCUUUUUGCACUCCCAGGAGACUAGGGAGAGGGAAGUGACGUCAACAACGCAGCAAAUGCGGAUUGGAUGUUGAUUUUGUUUUCUUCUGUCAACAUCCAAUCUGCAUUUGCUCUAGUCGUUGACGUCACUUCCCUCUUCCAAGUCUCCUGGGAGUGCAAAAAGCGCAA
rnacentral:SRP_RNA from 1 species